rnacentral:lncRNA from 1 species
CCGUGUGAUUCCCAUAUUUUCGUGUGAUUUCCAUAUUCCCGGACACCGAUCGCCUAAAAUUUUCCCGGACCAUCAAAUACGAACUAAGGAACCAUAGUCACCGCCCCGCCAUGAAAAUUCCUAGUUGUUUGCGUUUUUCAGCGAAAUAACUAGAAUUCCGCCCGAUUCCCAUAUUUUCUUGUGCUAUAGCCCACUCCUUCCGAGUGGGCCGGGACCCCCGGACUCGGAUCACCUAAAAAAUUUUCAGACCAUCCAAUACGAACUAAGGAACCAUAGUCACCUCCCCGCCAUAAUUGUUCCUCAUUUUUUGUAUUUUACUGCCAAAAAACUAGAAUUCCGUCUGAUUCCCAUAUUUUUGUGUGCUAUAGCGCACGCCUUCCAAGUGAUCCCGAGAUCCCCAGACCCCGAUCGCCUAAAAUUUUCCGGGCCAUCAAAUACGACCUAAGGAAACAUAGUCACUGCCCCAAUAUGAUCGGUCCUCAUGUUUUGCAUUUUACGGCAAAAAAAAUAGAAUUGCGCCCUAUUCCCAUAUUUUCGUGUGCUAUAGCCCAUGUCUUCAGAGUUGGUCGGGCCUCCCAGACUCGGAUCGCCUAAAUUUUUCCGGGCCAUCAAAUACGACCUAAGGAACCAUAGUCACCGCCCCACCAUGAUCGUUUCUCAUUUUUUGAAAUUUUCAGCCAAAAAACUAGAAUUCCGCCCGAUUCCCAUAUUUUCGUGUGUUAUAGCCCACGCCUUCCAUGUGGUCCCGGGACCCCCGGACCCCGAUCGCCUAAAAAUUUUUCGGGCCAUCAAAUAUGACCCAAGGAAUCAUAGUCGCCGACCUUCCAUGACCUUUCCUCAUUUUUUGCAUUUUUCGGCCAAAAAACUAGAAUUCCGCCCGAUUCUCAUAUUUUCGUGUG